CUCGUUGACACCGGAGGCCUCUGAGGAGAAGCAUGUGCACUCUACGUGCUCGUUCGACUGAGAAGAGGAGCAGAGAAGCAGCGGACCAGCGGAGCAGUGGACCAGCGAUCCGGACUGCAUUGGGAUGGAUGGAUGGAUGGAUGAACAACUACUGUCAGGACCACAAACAUCGCCUUGGCGAAACAACAAUAACAAAAAUAAGUUUACAUUAACAUACAUACAUUCAUGGUCAUCAUGCAAUCAGAACACGUCACAUUGCUGCACUGGAACAUACUCAAAAAGGAUGCAGAUAAUAUAAAUUUAUAAUAACAUUAAGCAACACCAUUACGACACCAUGUAAUGCACUCAUUUUAUAUGAACUCAUGCAGGGAAUGAAGAUAUCCUGCAUGCUUGUGUGCCUUGUCAUCUUGCCAUGGACAGUUAAUGUUCUAAUAGCCGUGUCCACUUAGGCCCUAAUGUCUCUAGCGGACGCAUACUUUGUGCUCAUGAUGAAGACAAUGAUGAAGACAAAGAUGGACAGGGCAGCAGUAUUCAUAGAGGCCAAUAAGGAUAUGAUUGGGCGAGAGGUCAAGGCUAACUACUCAUUCGCAGGCGAGGGUCGACAUGUCCGCACUUGCAAAUAGCUUCGGGGCUUCCCUAAUGCCAAGUGGCAUUGAGAAAAGAAUGAUCAUACAAUCCACCCAGCUCAUUGAAGUCACAUUCCAACCAUGGGGUACAUGCAAGCGACACUGACUGCUGCAGUUCUUAGUCACCGAUGAGUUUUAUUCAAGUCUGACAUCAAAAGACUGCCUCACCCAUGUUUUAGGGUUCUAUUCUUUCGAAACCAGAUGGUUCAAAGACCAGGAAACAUUCAUCUCCCCCCCCCCCCUUAUCCUGACUCUCCAACAGGGAACAUUAAGCACGACGUGUACGAGAAGCACAACAGCUUCAAAAGAAGAAGAAAAAAAAAACAGGAUAAGGAGACGUAGUGAGACAAUGUUAAUUCACUAGAUGGCACAUAUGAGCAUGUCAACGCUCACCAAAUAGACCGCCACUGUGUAAACACGGCAAGCCAAGAUACCUCCUGUACCAGGAACAAGGGAGUACAUGCCUAAUGUCUUACUAACCAAACCCCCACCGGUAACACUUCAUGUCAGCAUAGUCCGGAGUUCAACCAGCUGCUGGCCUAGCCAUGGACAUAACGGCCAAAAUGGAAUUACAAAUGGACUGUACAUUUACAUGGUAUAAUAGGCAGAUAGGUCAAACAAGGAAUGCUGACAUACAUCUCUGCUGGAGUCCAUGCUGAAUGCCGCUUUCAGAAGGACUCAGUAGUGCGCUGACGCUGCUGAUAACAUCAGUCGCCCAAAGGAUGGGCUUGUUCCCACCAUUCAGGCUGACUAGCGAAGAGCUGGUUUUGAAUCGCAGCUACUGAAGGCAAAGUGGAUCCAAUCAGUUCAGUUUUUUCAAAACUAUAAAUGUGAGAAUAAAGAAACAAACACAUGCUAGCUUUAUAAAAGUUCGGCCAAAUGUCAUGAGACAAACUAUUAGAGAGAGCAAUUUUACGAGAGCAUCUGUUUACCAUUUACAAAAACACUUUAAAAAACACACACACACACACACACAGCACAGCUCUUUCACAAUAGUAUCCUUGGGAGACAUUAGUUCUGGAAGACACAAUGCGCAUGCUGCAUGCGGCAGACACUCUGGAAUUUCAGACACUGAUGUCUUAACCCGACCUAGGAGGAAGUGGGGUGUGUGGUGGUGAUGUCCAAACAAGAACAUGCCACAACAAAGCACGAUGACAAACGAACGCCAAAGUUACUCUACAGGGCCAAAGAGACAGGUGCAAACAAUACCAUGAGUAGAUCAGCUACAGUUUCCUUGUCAUGUGUGGCAGGUGGUGUAGAGUUGCCUGAG
ensembl:lncRNA